UACGGGGGGGGCUAGCGUUGUUCGGAAUUACUGGGCGUAAAGGGCGCGUAGGCGGCCUACUAAGUCGGACGUGAAAUCCCUCGGCUCAACCGGGGAACUGCGUCCGAUACUGGUGGGCUCGAAUCCGGGAGAGGGAUGUGGAAUUCCAGGUGUAGCGGUGAAAUGCGUAGAUAUCUGGAGGAACACCGGUGGCGAAGGCGGCAUCCUGGACCGGUAUUGACGCUGAUGCGCGAAAGCCAGGGGAGAGCAAAGCGGG
rnacentral:rRNA from 1 species